UUAAGUUCAGCGGGUAUUCCUACCUGAUCCGAGGUCAACCACGAUAUGAUUUUUGCGUCGAGGCGUGGCCGCGCCGCGUCCCAGGCUGCGAGGCGAUUGCUACUGCGCAGAGGGAGCCGCGGCGUGGCCGCCACUGGAUUUCGGGGGCGGCCGCCGACGUGGCGGGGCCGGUCCCCAACGCCACGCCCCGCGAGGGGGCG
rnacentral:misc_RNA from 1 species